rnacentral:lncRNA from 1 species
CAGCGCCAAGGAGCCCUGGCGAGACUUCCGUUUCCCAAAGAAAGUGGUGAGCGUGGGUCGCUGGCCAGGCCCCUCCCCCUGGAGAGCCCCAGAGUCCUUGUUGCCCCCAGAUGCUCCCUCUGGUGACAUGGCCUCCUCAUCGGACACCUGGGCUCGCCCAGCCCAGGCAUCUACGACCCCAUUGCGGUUUCCACCUCUGCUUAGUGUCAGGACUCCUGUCUUCCGCUUCUGCCGCUGGCGCCAUAGCAGGAGUAGUACCACGAGGACAAUGACCACCAGCAGGGCCACAAGCACGGCUACCAGCAUGGUGCCAUUUGUCCUCUGACCUGAAUUUUGGGGGGAGCUACUGCUUGUGUCUACGGUGGAUAUUCCUACCCCGAAGAUGGGGCCAGCGGUCUUCAUAGAGGUCUCCCUGGUGACAGAGGGUCUACUGGUCCCCUUGGAAGUCGUUAGCAAGCCAGUUUCAAUGGUGACAGGGGGUCCAUGGGUCACAACGGAGGUCUUCGAAGACCUAGUUGCCAUGAUGACAGGGGGUCCAGUGGUUCCACUGGAGGCCACCAGAGAGCUGGUUGCCGUGGUGACAGGAGGUCCACUGGUCCCAUCAGAGGUCUCCAGAGAGCUGGUGGUCAUGGUUUCACCAGUCACAGUGUGCAACCCCAGGGAGCUCAUUCCUGAGACAGCAGGUGUAUUGGCUGCAUCAGAGAUCUCCAGGAGCAUGGAUUUCCUGUUGGUGGAAACUUCCUGGGAGAGUACUGACCUGGGGAGAGGAAGGCCACUGCUGGCAGCAAUGGAAAUCCCGGGGGAGGACACCUCUUCAGCUGGGUAGGGAGUUGAGGAAGGCAGGAAGAUCUGAUGCCCAGGGCUGUUACUUUCCUCAGGGAGCUCAGUUGUUGAAAGACUGGAUGCUUCUGAGUUGAUUUCGGGGGUCCCAGAGACAGAGACCAAAGGAAAAGGGGACCUUGCGGGUUCAGACAUCUGCAAAGCAGUCGUGCUCUCUGGAAGCUCUAGGCUUGCCACUGGGGCCCAGACGCUCCCAAAGAAGAGGAAAAGCGGGAUCAUUUUCAAGGCGACAGGCAUGAGCAGGAGUUGGGACCUGAGGGUGGGGAAACCGGAGAAAGAGAACACAUAAGAACCUGGGGUGGGGGGAGGACCUAGCCAGGCCCUCUCCCCGCCCUUGCCCACUUCCCUGCCAACUGCCAGGCCGAACUCUGCGGUUCAACGGCUUUUUCCACCCCUGCUUUUACUCGUAUCAGAAAGUACAAGAUGCUGGCGGUUCCCCCAUCAACUCUCUCCCUAGGUCCCCUCAGCCUGCCUUGGCAGCUUGUGCUCCAGCAAAGGCCACCCCCUCCCC